rnacentral:lncRNA from 1 species
GAGUCUCAGAUCUUCCAGACCCCAUUUCUAAAGAGAGAAGCAUUUGUCCAUUGACUCCUGUGCCCUUUUCAUCAAGAGUGUUGUCCCCACAGUCCCUAUUUCUGGGCUUUACAUGCAAAAGUGCCCAGCAGGCUCCUGUGGGCAGCUCACCUCCCCUGACAUCAGAGGAGCCCCAGUCAGGACAAGAGAGGUGCUCUUGCAGUGGCAAUCUACAUCAAACCCUGUCUGGAAUCUGUUUCAGCAGCAGCAGCGGGAGCAAGAAGUGAGGUCAGGGGCCCUGUGUCACCACAUACCAGGUGUGUCUGCCACAAGGGUAUUAUGAAAGUGUUGAGCUUAAGGAAAUGAACACGUAAAAUGCUCACCACAACUUCUUCUGUGAAUGACUUACAUAUGCCAGCCACUGUGUCUGCCAUUCCUCUUUACCCACUGACCAGUAAACUGUCACCAAAUGAGUGGUGCCUUAAACCUCCAUUCAAUCCUUAAUCAUUGAUUGUGCGGGGCAGUAUUCUAGGGGCCGGAGCACAUAGCAGUGAAUAAGAUCACAAUGUCCUUGCUCCUAAGAGUUCAUAUUCCAGUGGAUAGAAGCAGACAAUAUAAAACAGAAGCAGGAAAAUAUCAGAUGGAGGAAGUGCAGGAAACUAAAAUAGGGUGAUGGGAUGGGGACUGAAUGGGAACAGCUUAUCCUCUUACCUUGAAAGGUUAGACAGGUGGGUGUUUGGCUUCUGGUUCCUGUCUCUAAUAGUUCUGUGACUCAGUCACAUUUUCUUUAAAAUCCAUUUCAAUUGCUUAGUCAGACACAAUUGUACAAUUUUAAGGUCUCACAUUUUAAAAACCACAUCAUGAUUCAUAUAAUCAUAUGACACAUACUAGUGAUUAAUGGAGUUUCUUAGGCAAAAUAGGAUUUAGUUAUUGAGUCAUUCUCAAUUCAUUGCUCCCCCUUAUAUCUCUCUCUUUUGCUCUCUUUCUUACACACACACUCACACACACACACACACACACACUCAUAUGCAAUCCAGGUUAAUUCUACUUCCUACUAUUUCUCAAAUCCACUCUCCCCUCAAGAAGGUCUGCUCCAUCCCCACAGUGUGUGUGGUCCAGGCCUCUUGUUCAGCCUGUCAGCAGCUUCCUGAUGAACUGUCCAAGUUCUGCUUUGCUCCAAAGCCUCAUCUUCCGGUGUUUAGAAAAACCUUCCUCUUCAUCAUUUUCACCCUAUCUCUGUCCUCUAGAGAUUCAACUAAUAAGUCUAGACCUGCUACCACACAACUACCCUCCCAGUGAUUGAAUAGACUCUUCUUGGUCUCCCCUGCAGCCUGCACUGCCCCAGUUCCUUGCCUUUUUCAUGUAUCGUGGUCUCCAGACCCUUCUUCAUCCUAGUAACCUUAAUCUGAAUAUAGUUAGAUUUAUUGUUUUUAAAAAUAUAUUCAAAACUAACCACAGGGCCUGGCACAGUGACUCAUGCCUGUAAUCC